rnacentral:misc_RNA from 1 species
AGCGGCCGCGGUAAUUCCAGCUCCAAUAGCGUAUAUUAAAGUUGUUGCAGUUAAAAAGCUCGUAGUUGAAUUUCGGGGUUAGUAGGUUGGUCAUGCCUCUGGUAUGUACUGGUCUCACUGAUUCCUCCUUCCUGAUGAGCCGUAAUGCCAUUAAUUUGGUGUUGCGGGGAAUCUGGACUGUUACUUUGAAAAAAUUAGAGUGUUUAAAGCAAGCUAACGCUUGAAUACAUUAGCAUGGAAUAAUGAAAUAGGACGUUCGAUCCUAUUUUGUUGGUUUCUAGGAUUGACGUAAUGAUUAAUAGGGAUAGUUGGGGGCAUUAGUAUUCAAUUGUCAGAGGUGAAAUUCUUGGAUUUAUUGAAGACUAACUACUGCGAAAGCAUUUGCCAAGGAUGUUUUCAUUAAUCAAGAACGAAAGUUAGGGGAUCGAAGACGAUCAGAUACCGUCGUAGUCUUAACCAUAAACUAUGCCGACUAGGGAUCGGAUGAUGUUAAUUUUUUUAAUGACUCAUUCGGCGCCUU